rnacentral:rRNA from 1 species
AUUGAACGCUGGCGGCAUGCCUUACACAUGCAAGUCGAACGGUAACAGGUCUUCGGAUGCUGACGAGUGGCGAACGGGUGAGUAAUACAUCGGAACGUGCCCGAGAGUGGGGGAUAACGAAGCGAAAGCUUUGCUAAUACCGCAUACGAUCUCAGGAUGAAAGCAGGGGACCGCAAGGCCUUGCGCUCACGGAGCGGCCGAUGGCAGAUUAGGUAGUUGGUGGGAUAAAGCUUACUAAGCCGACGAUCUGUAGCUGGUCGGAGAGGAAGACCAGCCACACUGGGACUGAGACACGGCCCAGACUCCUACGGGAGUCAGCAGUGGGGAAUUUUGGACAAUGGGCGCAAGCCUGAUCCAGCCAUGCCGCGUGCAGGAUGAAGGCCUUCGGGUUGUAAACUGCUUUUGUACGGAACGAAAAGACUCUGGUUAAUACCUGGGGUCCAUGACGGUACCGUAAGAAUAAGCACCGGCUAACUACGUGCCAGCCGCCGCCGUAACAC